UAAUACGUAGGGGGCGAGCGUUACCCGGAAUUACUGGGCGUAAAGGGUGCGUAGGCGGCCCUGUAAGUCUGGUGUUAAAAUCCACGGCUCAACUGUGGGAGAGCACUGGAAACUGCGGGGCUUGGGUGUGGCAUAGGCAGAUGGAACUGCUGGUGUAGGGGUGAAAUCCGUAGAUAUCAGCAGGAACGCCGGUGGAGGAGUCGGUCUGCUGGGCCACAACCGACGCUGAGGCACGAAAGCUAGGGGAGCGAACCGGAUUAGAUACCCGGGUAGUCCUAGCCGUAAACGAUGCUCACUUGGUGUGGGGGCGGAAGCCUCCGUGCUGAAGCUAACGCGUUAAGUGAGCCGCCUGGGGAGUAUGCCCGCAAGGGUG
rnacentral:rRNA from 1 species